UCACAUGCAAGUUGUCGUGAUGAGUGCAGCUCUCAGUGGAGCGGAGAACCAGAAUGGGUAGCUCCUUUCCACAGGCAAGUCAUCCUGAUGUCUAUGUGAGUUUGGCUGGUUUCGGGGAUUUUACGGUCUCAGAAGGGAGAAAGUACGUGCUGAUUCAUCCAUGGGCAGCCAUGGGCAGGCUGGUAAAAAGCACCAUGAGUUCCCACUCCACCUGGAUCUGACAGCCCGGCCACCAGGCUUCAGGCCGUCUCUACCUUGAAGGUGGGGCUUCACGUGGGACUAAUCCCUUUCCACCCAGGAACCUGUUUGCCUCCCGCCAUCAACAUGCAGUCCACAGUGCCCAGGCUGUUCUUACCAAGCAGUGGCCUUUGCCAAGCUGACUUCAGCCCCUCCUCAGCCUCCAUCCCAUGUUCGUCGGUGCCCGAAGUCCAGAGGGGGCUGAGGUGGCAGAAGGCUGGCAUUUCAGUGUCACCCUGAGCGUGCGCACACACACCCGGUCUGGUUGCAACAGCACCCAGGCUUUGCCACAACUUUGAUCCUCACCAGAGUGGGCGCCAGGAGUGGGGUGAGGUCAGGCAAUGGGAGCAGGAACUUUCAAGCCUGCGGUGGCAAGGAGCUUCCUGGGCCCCUGACAAUACAGGGAUGCUCGGAUCUGAAGCUACAGCUGGGCAGCUGUAGCUGCGCCCAAGACCACAGGGCUCCCACUCUGCCAGCUCUGUAGGGGGAUGGGCUCCUGCCUGUUCCCAGUUCCUACCGCCCUGAGGAGUGUGUCACCCGGGCCGCACUUCCUCCCCUGCAGCUGGCGUCUUUGCAGUGGCUGUUCCAGACCAGCUACCAUUGCCAUCAAAAACAUGUGGUUGAGUAUGAAAGAAAGCAGAGAUUAAGAAGAUGGAUUAUUUUCUGGUCUUAUUCUUUUCAAUACACAGUUGACCCUAGAGCAAUGCUGGUGUUAUGGGUGCUGACUUCCAUGCAGCUGAAAAUCUGAGCAUAACCACUGACUGCUUAAAAAGUUAAAUAGUAGAAGCCCACUGCUGACUGGAAGCCUCACCCAUAUCACAAAGAUUCAAUUAACACCUACUGUAUUCUAACAAUAAAGUAAGCUAGAGACAAAAAAACGUUAUUAAGAAACUCAGAAGGAAGAAAAAACAUAUUUACUAUUCAUUAAGUGAAAGAGGGACAUCCUUUCUGUCUUCAGGUUGAGUAAGCUGAGGAGAAGGAGGAAGAAGAAGGGGGGUUGGUUUUUCUGUCUCAGGGGUGGCAACGGCAAAAGAAAACUUACUUAUAAUUGGACUCAUGCAGUUCACACUUAGCUGUUGAAGUGCUGACUGCAUUUUACAAUAUUAAUAAUUAUACUUGAUUAUAAAAUUUUAGAGGUAAGAUAUACUACCAACUGAAAAUGUAGUUAUAAUUACAGAAUAACCAUAUUAGUAACUGUUGCUUCAUUUUUGACCAUGUAAGAUGUGAAAAAUAUGCACUACUGAGGAAAAGGCAGAACAAAUUUUAGUAAUUGAUUUCCCUAAGAAUUCCUAAAUGGUGAUGAACAUGAACUGUGAUGGUUUCCACCUUUAAUGUGGGUGGGCACUAUCCAGCCUGCUGGGGGUCUGGAGAAAAAAAACAAACCUGUCUAUCUGUUAGAACUGAGAUGCACUCUUUUUCUGCUGUCCUUGGACAGCAACUCCAGACUCCAUGGCCUUUUUAUUCUUUUUUUUUUUUUUUCUUGAGACAGAGUCUCGCCCUGUCGCCCAGACUGGAGUGCAAUGGCGUAAUCUCGGCUCACUGCAAUCUCCAUCUCCCUGAUUUAAAUGAUUGUCCUGGCUCAGCCUCCUGAGUAGUUGGGAUUACAGGCACCUGCCACCAUGCCUAGCUAAUUUUUAUAUUUUUAGUAGAAACGGGGCUUCACCAUGUUGGCCAGGCUGGCCUUGAACCCCUGACCUCGUGAUCUGCCCACCUCGGCCUCCCAAAGUGCUGGGAUUCCAGGAGUGAAUCAUCAUGCCCGGCCUUGCCUUUAUAUUCCAAGACUUACACAAGUACCAAGUCUCUCCUGGAUGUUCACACCUUUGGCUUUGGACUGAGAGUUACAUCUUCAACUUCUUUCGUUCUGAGGACUUUGGACUUGGACUGAGCUACACUACCAGCAUCUCAUCCUCCACCUUGCAGGAAAUCUGUUGCAGGUCUUCUCAACCACCAUAAUCAGAACUACCCUGGAAGCUCCCUCAAAGAAUACAUCCUGGUUUGACUAUCCUAAACUGUUGGAAGUGCAUUAAAUUGUAAAUGACUGCUGAAUGUCAUUCCUUGCCAGUUGCUUCUGACCAUGAUUUGAUAGAUAUUCCACCUCAUCUUAGACAUCUAUUAGAAACAGUAGACCAUGAUCCUAUUUCUUACAUCUCCGUGUAAAAUAGCUGUUGGACUCUCUGAGUAUCUACCCCAUCUGCAUUACCACGACAGUCACUCGGUCAUUCCAAGGAUAGACAAAUGUUGUCCAGUGAGUGUCUGGAUAACACAGGGUAGAUUGAUGGCCUUUAGGCAGUUUUUUUUUUUUUUUAAAUCAAGCACUAAAUGUAAUUAUUCUAACUUAAUUGGAAACUCUAAGGUUUACCAGCCAGAGAGAGGCCAUGUUCACUGUGCCAUCAACUAGUACUUCCUGAGUGAUGUAGGUAUACUCGGUAGAUCUCCAACAUAAUUAACUUUCCCUUUAGGGACACCAUAUACAUCCCUGCGGCUGUACUUACGGGAAGCCAGAAAUUAAGUUGCUUCCCUCCCAGAAACAUGGUAAUUGCACCUAAGGGGUGAUAGCGUGAUAGUGAAAGACUUUUAAUUGUUUAAGAAAACACGACAGUAGAUUAUGUAGCCUUCAAAUAAAUGCUUAGAUAGCUAAAAAAUGAGGUUAUGCUUGGUUACUUGGUGCAUUUGGCUGAAUGAUGACCCCCCUUCCCCAAAUAUAUAUCCAUAUUCUGAUACUUAGAGCCUGUGAAUGCCACAUUAUUUUCUGAUAAAACGGGUCUUGGCAGAUGCUUGAGAUAAGGAUAUCAUUUGUAUUAUCUAUGUGAGCCCUAAAUGAUUAAUGACAAGGGUUCUUAUAAAAGAGAGGUGGAAAAAUAUUCGAGAGACAGAAAGGAGAAGGUAAUGUGACCACAGAGACAGAGAUAGCGGUGAGUCCACUGCAAGCCAAAGAAAAACUGGAACUUUCAAAAGCUGGAAGAGGCAAGAAACAGAUUAUUCCCUAGAGCAUGUGGAGGAAGCAUUUUCCUACCAACAAAUUGACUUUGGACUUUUGCUUUUAGGAACUGUAAGAUAAUACAUUUUUGUUGCUUUAAGCUGCAAAAUAUAGCAGCCAGAGAAAAUGAAUACAUUUGAGAAAGCUUCCCAGAAAAUAAAUGACUCAUAAAUUUCGUUUCUUACAUAAAGUUAUCUCAAAGAAGGAAGUAAUUUAAUUAGAAAGUUCAUAUGAAAUUUGUUACUGGCUUUAGCAAAGUAAUUAAUGACACAACCUUGGCUCCUGGAGGUAUUCAGGUCAUCCCCUACUCUCUGGGCAAAGAUGUCAUGGAUGAUAGGUUUGCUCUAACUUCCUCCUUGCAAACCAAGACAGUGGCUAGAAAAUUGCUAAUGCAUCUUGCUGCACCAGGAGUGAUGCCUUCUGCUAAGUAGAAAGAUCCCAAUAUAAUUAAUAAACCUAAGUAGAAAGCCACUUGGCUUUCUAGGGUAGAUACUGAUGGUUUCUGGGUUUGUUCACCAGAUUGGAUUCUGGACCCUGAGGUACAUACUAAAAUCAAUAUGGCAGGAAUCUUGUUGAUAAUAGUCUUGAUUAAACACUGAAUGGACAAACUGAA